rnacentral:rRNA from 1 species
AUUGAACGCUGGCGGCAGGCUUAACACAUGCAAGUCGAGCGAGCGGCGGACGGGUGAGUAAUGUCUGGGAAACUGCCUGAUGGAGGGGGAUAACUACUGGAAACGGUAGCUAAUACCGCAUACCAUCAGAUGUGCCCAGAUGGGAUUAGCGAGUAGGUGGGGUAAUGGCUCACCCAGGCGACGAUCCCUAGCGGGUCUGAGAGGAUGACCAGCCACACUGGAACUGAGACACGGUCCAGACGCCUACGGGAGGCAGCAGUGGGGAAUAUUGCACAAUGGGCGCAAGCCUGAUGCAGCCAUGCCGCGUGUGUGAAGAAGGCCUUCGGGUUGUAAAGCACUUUCAGCGAGGAGGCGUUACCAACAGAAUAAGCACCGGCUAACUACGUGCCAGCAGCCGCGGUAAUUC